GAAAAUAUUAACUGCUAUGUUUUCCUUAUCCUUCUACUCCCUACUCCCCACUGUUUUCCUUACCCACUUUCAGUGAAAGCACACCCUCUUUUGGAACACACAGCCUUCCACUUUGUUUUCCUUUUUAAGACCAUGACUUAACACUUCCACUAGACUAGAACUAAGCCUACCAUGGGCACAGCCACAACCAGUUCUGGAAUCACCCCCCUCCACUAGGCCCCCUACCUUGUGUAUGAUGUAGAUUGGCUUGAAUGAAUGAAUGAAUACCAAUGACUUUUGUUAUAAAUGGAAUAAAAUUUAUUAAGUAAUAUAUAUACAAAAACGGUGCCUGCUUUAAUAUACGUUUAGUUCAAAACUGGCCCUUGCUUUUUCUGCCCACAUCAGUGGUCCCCAUGUUCCACGGACAGGGACUGUCAGAAUAAUUGGUUUUGCAACACAGAGCAUGCAAAAAAGGCUAAUUGAUGAUGACAUUCCAGUAGCCAGCAACCCUUGAAGGCAGGAAGGAUUUUUUUUUUAAAGCAUCAUCUAUAUGUUUAAUGGAAUGUUCAACCCUCCUCCUUAAGAGUUUUAUUUUCUAAUUUCCCCAAACUACAUGUCUAGUUUCUACAUGUUGGUUGUCUCGUGGUGACAGUUUCAGGCAUUUUCCCAAAUGCUAAUGAUACAAAGGAUGAAUGAUAACAUGGGUAAAUUGCUGUGGAGCCAAGCUUUUGAAAAGAUAAAAUAAAACAAGAAAUGGGACUUUUCUAGCUUCUGUUCAAUUUCACUGACACAUUUCUUAUUAGCUGCUUUUGUUUUUACUCUGCGGGUAUUUAAAUUUUAGCAAAUGGAGUAGUUUCUCCCAGAGAACUACCAAUUGAGCAUGUUUCAGCUAUGGCAAGCAGUAUUUUUCUCCUAGGAAGCAGAUUAUAGUAUUGCUUGAGAAUAACUGAAAACACUGCCGAACUGGUAACUUGGUUCCCAAAUGGGCUUUUACUUGCAGGGAACAUGGAAAAGCAAGAGCGUUUGGAGUGGGCUGUUCUUUGUCCUACAUUGCAUUUCCAGCACCUCUAUGGGUGUGCCCUGCCCUCCUUCAAGGGUGACCCACAUGGCUACCACACUGCAUUUUCUAACACACACACCCAAUCAUGUCCCUCCCCUCCUAACACUGUAAUGGCUCUUCUUUACCUUCAGUGCAAAAGCCAAACUUCUAUUUCUACAGGCUCAGGUACAACCUGCACUUUCUCUUGCAGCCAUACUGAACGGACUUUCAUUAUCACUUUCUAAGUGUGCUGCGCCCCUCCUGGCCUUCAGAAUUUAUGUCUGUGUUCCCGCUGUCAAGAACCCAGAACUUUCUAAGUGUCUUCCUGUCCUUGCCCAGCUCACCUUGAAUUCCCUUCACUCCUGUCCCUCGUUCACAACUUGACUUUGAUGUCACCCCUACCAGACAUCUUCCAUACCCCCUUGCCUGGCUAGGUGUACCCUUCUGUGAUCUUCCAGUUCCAGGGACCUCCCAUAUCCCAACUACACCAUAACCCUGUAUUACCAUUCCCUUUUUUUACCAUUACCUAUUUGAUAUCCCUCUUCAGACUGCUCAGGAGAAAGAGAUGUCUCCAUCACAGCCAUGCUCUGCAGGAUGUAAUAUAACAAUGGCUCACAUAUUUGCUGAAUGCUGCUAUGGUGGUGGUAUACUGGGGAUAAAAAGUAAGACCCAGACAUAUUAGGAUCCUGGGCUCAUUUUGCUGAAGGUAGAUCCAGACAUUUAGCUUACACCCUAUUUAUACUUGAUUACUUCAUGAGUUGUUUCUCUAACAAAAACGUAAGGGGCUGCUCAACAGCCCCUAAGAAGCCUCCUGCAAGGGUCUGCAUGCAUGCAAUAGGUAAUCAAUAUAUGCUGUUAGCUAUGUGAAUCACACUUCUCUAUAGGUAGUUACUCUCUCAGUGGCCUAUCAAUGAUUAAUAGAGUUUGAGCACUUAGUUCCAAGUUAUUUUGGCAACCAAGGAUAAAACAUGAAAAAAUACAUUUACAUUAUAAAGGAAGAUCUUGCUGAUCAUGAAGACGAUGAACACUGGGAGAAUUUGCAGAGAGAGAUGGUCAAAUAGUGCCUUAGUCCACUGCAGUUUUCAGCUUGGGUCCUGAAGAUAAAUGAAAUAUCAAUUUGUCCUUGGCUUCCAUGAUGGAUCAUGACUUUGGAACAAGUAAAGGUCAUCACCGUGGUCACAAGUGGCCACCUAGGUUAAAGUUGUGAUAAUACCCAGGGCAGUAUUCCACAUUAGUUUAAGGACUUACCUAAUAGGUUCAAAUGUAUUCUUAAUACUUAGAGAAGCCAGCCUGGGUGCUCAAGAUUUCUAAAGCAGCAGCUGGACCAGCUGUCAAGGGUCAGUAUCAGAUCACAGCAAUUAUCCACUUAAUGUGGCAUUUAUCUGAAACACUAACUCGGUGCAAGGUCAUUUAGACUAACCACCAUUUAUUUCUUGAACAUUUUCCUGAAAGUGGCAAUAAUCAUAAAGAUAAUUUAUUGCAAACGUAAUCAAUUUAAGAAAGAUAAUUAGCAUGAACAAUUAUUGUAGGGAAAUAUUAGCUAUCCAUAAAACAUAUGCCUAAAUCUGUUUCUGGCUCCCUUUGGAAGAGAUUACUUACAUAUGGUUUAUAUGGCAUGCCUCUUGCACAUGUUGAUACUUAAAAAUAUGAACUAGUAUUAUUAAUCUUUUUGUGAAGAACAAAAGAAUUGAGAUCCUCAUUAUCAUAGAUGAUUGAGGUUUUAGAUGAUAAUGGCACUUUAUAUCAAAAGUUCAUCAGAGGAUUUUAAUUGUGAGGCCUGACUAAUCAUGACCACUCUGACUCUUGAUAAUUAUGUAUCAAGAUGGAAGUUUUUAAUGAGUCUUCUUGAUUUUGUUUUUUUUUUUUUUUUUUUUUUUUGGCUGCACCUGUAGCACGUGAAAGUUCCCAGACCAGGAAUCAAACCCAUGCCUUGCUUGUGACCCAGGCUGCCAUGGUGACAAUGCUGGGUGCUCAACCCACUGUACCACGAAGGAACACCCUAAUGAGUCUUCUUGAAAUUAAGGUUACAUACUACCAUUGCGCAUUUGAUACAGGGAAAAAAAAUGCUCUGAAUUCUAAUAUUUGAAAAUGGUCAAAAACCUACUUCUAAGCCUGCUUGUUCUAAAAAUACAUUCUAAGAAUUUAGAUUAGAAGUAGAUGAGCUCAGAAACAGGAAUGUAGGAGUGGUUUUUAGCCAUUAAGAAGGAAGGGUCAUGGGGCCAAUUUAAAUAAUUAACAAAAGAAUUCAGCACGUGCCUUGUAUAAGGAAGGGCCUUCAAAUUCAAAACAAAAGGGUUCUGGUGCAUGCCAGAAGAUCCAAAUGCCUACCUACUAGUUACAACCCCAAGGAAGGCAUUCUGCUGCAAGUUUUUCUAUUCCUCAAGCUCGCCAUGACAGAUGACUUGGAAGAGCAAGUCCAUUCCCAUUUCAGAAUAUUAAACAGGUGGCAUUAAUGGCUCCAUGGUCGAUACCUAACAUCUGUGAUGGGAGCAUGCAAAUGUCCCUGUGUAGAAGCUUCCUCUGAGCUUGUGUAAUCUUCAGAGUUGAUGCUAGAUAAGGAUGACACUGAUUUUCCUGCAAAUUAAUAAUCUCUCUUUCACCCCCGAUUAGUUGGGAAACUGAUCUGCUAUUAGAAAAGCUUUCUGUUCCAUGUCUAAAAUGACUCAGGAAAUGAAGUUAUCUUUUUCAAAAAGAAAGAGAAACUCAGAGUAUGAAGGAUCAGAGAGCUCCAGGCCCUCUAAACCUUCUUCUAGAGUCCAACAGCCCCUGAGAAGAAUCAGCACUUCAAUGGUGGGAUAUACUCUCUCAUCAAUGACAUUUCCAUUUAGCUACAACAAAGUCAGAAGGAAUUUAGGGUACAUUCAGGGGCCAAUUUGAUGCUUGCUGACACACACAUUUGCCCAUGAAAUGUUUGUUGAUGCUUCCCUCAAUGGAUAGCUUUUCUGGAAGCUUGCUUUCCAGAACUGCAGACAGAGAAAUCUGGUACCACCCAAUACACUAUUUCCUUUAAAUAGCACACAUCUUUUGGAGGCAGGACAAAGGACCUGAUAUAUUCAGAUGCUAGGUAGGUGAAAUAGGCUCUGUUAGCUAAUAUUUGGAGCAAAUCCACCUAAGGGCCAAAACAGCACAAGUGAUUACACAUGAGGUAAGAAAAUGCAGGCAUUUUAGGCAAGGCAAGUUAAAACUCUCCUUGCCUGAGGAAUGUCUGCAAGGAGGUGGAGGACAGUGACCUAGGAUUGUUUAAAAACCAUCAAGGGAAGAUGCAGAGUCUCUUGCCCCACCUCUGUUUUCAACCAUAGCUGCUAGAGGGAAGAGACAUACCAGAAUGAGAGUGAAGACCGGAAAAUACGUUAAUUAGGAAAAGGCUGGUAAGGCCCAUUUGAAUUGGACAAUAAGGUGGACACUGAGUCAAAACAUUCACUAAGCCUACACAGCGCUUUUGUUUAGACUAGAAAAGGCACAUACCCAGUGCCCAUGAGUCUGACCUUGGCAAGCUAAGCAAGUAAGUGUGUGAGACAGCACAGCUCAGAAAAUACAGUGUGCAGUAAAUUUUGAUGACAUGGGCUCAGUGCUGAGACCACUACUAAAAUAAAGGAAAAUGGACACAUACUUGCUUAUCUGUACAGUUACCUAUCCUCAGGGGCGAGGACAAACAGCUUACAACUGGAAAGUUAACAGCUCAUAUUUGACUCAAGAAUGUAGCACUUUAUAUUUAGUCUAACAAAUCUGUGGUCUGUUUGGUUCCUAUAAAUCGUGUUGACUCACCCACACAUGCACAAAUACACCUUUCCCCAGCCAGUCUAUAAAAGAAUUCUGUUUUUACACUUGACCUUCCAAUCCCAGCCCUCACCCACCCAACACAUUCAUAGACAUUGGUCUUGGACUCAUCACUCCUGGAUUCCCGUUUAUCCCAUUUUGAGUCUGUUUCUCACCUCUGGUAGAAGAUAACUACCUCUGGACCUUUUGGUUUAUUCCUUAUGGUUUCUUGGUCUUGCCUUCCAGUUGCUUUCUCAACUUGUCUCCAUCUCCUGACUUACGUUAAACUUCCUGCUCUAGAUCCGACCCCCAUAGUGGCCGUCUUUCCUCAUUAUAGUCCCUUAGACUGACACUGGCUGAGAUGGCAUUCCCUUAAUAUCCAACUGUGACAAAGGAGAGAGUUCCAGGCUUGACGUGCAUAAACUAGACACACACAAAGCAUUUGCUGAAAUAUUGCUAAAUGAAUUGAGUAACUGAAUAUAGUCAAUGGUCAUCUCUGGACCGCUGCUUGGUCUUAAAGACUUCUGGAUUUAUCUCAUUUAUUGAGCUUCAAUUAGGGCUUUGUUAAUCAAUCUCUCUCAAAAUCAUAUUAGCUGCAUGGUUAAACCUAUGAUGAGGACAAUUUAUCCAUUGGUAAAUGAGAAAUGAUUGAAUUAGCUCAAGAUGUCUGGACUAAAUUAGCUG
rnacentral:lncRNA from 1 species